rnacentral:rRNA from 1 species
AUUGAACGCUGGCGGAAUGCUUUACACAUGCAAGUCGAGCGGCAGCGCGGGGGCAACCCUGGCGGCGAGCGGCGAACGGGUGAGUAAUACAUCGGAACGUGUCCUUCAAGUGGGGGAGUAGCUCGGCGAAAGCCGGAUUAAUACCGCAUAAGCUCUGAGGAGGAAAGCGGGGGACGUGGUAACGGCCUCGCGCUGUUGGAGCGGCCGAUGUCGGAUUAGCUAGUUGGUGGGGUAAAGGCCCACCAAGGCGACGAUCCGUAGCUGGUCUGAGAGGAUGAUCAGCCACACUGGAACUGAGACACGGUCCAGACUCCUACGGGAGGCAGCAGUGGGGAAUUUUGGACAAUGGGGGCAACCCUGAUCCAGCCAUUCCGCGUGAGUGAAGAAGGCCUGGUGUAAGA